rnacentral:rRNA from 1 species
UACGUAGGUGGCAAGCGUUGUCCGGAUUUAUUGGGUUUAAAGGGUGCGUAGGCGGUUUUAUAAGUCAGUGCUGAAAUAUCCCGGCUUAACCGGGAGGGUGGCAUUGAUACUGUAGGACUUGAGUAAAGUUGAGGUAGGCGGAAUUGACGGUGUAGCGGUGAAAUGCUUAGAUAUCGUCAAGAACACCGAUAGUGAAGACAGCUUACUAAGCUUUAACUGACGCUGAGGCACGAAAGUGUGGGGAUCAAACAGG